rnacentral:rRNA from 1 species
ACGGGAGGCAGCAGUGAGGAAUAUUGGUCAAUGGACGGAAGUCUGAACCAGCCAUGCCGCGUGCAGGAAGACGGCUCUAUGAGUUGUAAACUGCUUUUGUGCGAGGGUAAACGCAGAUACGUGUAUCUGCCUGAAAGUAUCGUACGAAUAAGGAUCGGCUAACUCCGUGCCAGCAGCCGCGGUAAUACGGAGGAUCCAAGCGUUAUCCGGAUUUAUUGGGUUUAAAGGGUGCGUAGGCGGUUUAGUAAGUCAGCGGUGAAAUUUUGGUGCUUAACACCAAACGUGCCGUUGAUACUGCUGGGCUAGAGAGUAGUUGCGGUAGGCGGAAUGUAUGGUGUAGCGGUGAAAUGCUUAGAGAUCAUACAGAACACCGAUUGCGAAGGCAGCUUACCAAACUAUAUCUGACGUUGAGGCACGAAAGCGUGGGGAGCAAACAGGAUUAGAUACCCUGGUA